AUACGGAGGGUGCAAGCGUUAAUCGGACUUACUGGGCGUAAAGCGUACGUAGGCGGUUAUUUAAGUGAGAUGUGAAAUCCCCGGGCUCAACCUGGGAACUGCAUCUGAUACUGGUAAGCUAGAGUUUGGGAGAGGGAAGUAGAAUUUCAGGUGUAGCGGUGAAAUGCAUAGAGAUCUGAAGGAAUACCAGUGGCGAAGGCGACUUCCUGGCCUAAAACUGACGCUGAGGUGCGAAAGCGUGGGUAGCAAACGGGAUUAGAAACCCCAGUAGUCC
rnacentral:rRNA from 1 species